UACGGGGGGUGCGAGCGUUGUCCGGAAUCACUGGGCGUAAAGGGCGCGUAGGUGGCGUGAUAAGGGUGUGGUGAAAGCCCGGGGCUCAACCCCGGGUCUGCCAUGCCGACUGUCAGGCUGGAGUACUGUAGGGGCAGGCGGAAUUCCGGGUGUAGCGGUGGAAUGCGUAGAUAUCGGGAGGAAUACCAGCGGCGAAGGCGGCCUCUGGACGGUGACUGACGCUGAGACGCGAAAGCGUGGGGAGCAACAGG
rnacentral:rRNA from 1 species